GAGUUUGAUCGUGGCUCAGAGCGAACGUUAGCGGCGCGCCUAACACAUGCAAGUCGCACGAGGUAGCAAUACCUAGUGGCGCACGGGUGCGUAACACGUAGAUAAUCUGCCCUUCAGCGGGGGAUAACGUUCCGAAAGGAGCGCUAAUACCGCAUACAGCAGCGAGUGGUUCGCCAUUUGUUGGCAAAGGCUGGGAUCUUCGGACCAGCCACUGAAGGAGGAGUCUGCGGCCCAUCAGCUAGUAGGUAAAGUAACGGCUUACCAAGGCAAAGACGGGUAGCUGGUCUGAGAGGAUGAUCAGCCACACUGGUACUGGAACACGGACCAGACUCCUACGGGAGGCAGCAGUGGGGAAUCUUGGUCAAUGGGCGCAAGCCUGAACCAGCGACGCCGCGUGAGUGAUGAAGGCC
rnacentral:rRNA from 1 species